CUGGUAUGCUGUGGUUUUAAUAGGCAUUGUCUUUAUUAUUUUUAUGGGUGCCUUUAUAAAGUGCUGUGCAGUUCAUACUCCAUCUAGUAACCCCAAAAAACCACCAGCAAGACACCUUAGUGAGACACUACGAAGACCGAUGAAUACCUUGAGAAGAAUGCGACAUCCAUACACAAAUAGAGGAGAUGGUGAGGCUCGAAGUAUUCCAUCAAGACCCGGCCAUGUGUUUAACGAAUCUCAAGGUCUGUCGCACAGCCAUUGUGAAGGACGAAGAUCGCAAUACUUUUCGAAAGGAUAUCGCUCGAUUCCCACAGCUAGUGCACCAUCAGACAGCUACAACGGAUCAGUCAUAGCAGCAUCACAAUCCAAUAGUGGCCAAGCAAGAGUCAGUUGUAGCUCAGGCCUCGAACACAACCAUCAUCCAGAACUCUAUGCCAGUGCCUACUUGACCGGCCGAAGUGGUCGGAACUUAAGCAACCAAAUGAGGCAUCAUAACAUUUGAUGCAACAGCUUGAUCUUUUUUUGCAUCUCAAUCUUUUAUUAUCUCUAAAUCUUCUUCAUCGCCUGUGCUCUAGGGCUCUUUUGUGGUUUCUUUUGACAAUAUUAAA
rnacentral:misc_RNA from 1 species